UACGAAGGGUGCAAGCGUUGUUCGGAAUUACUGGGCGUAAAGCGCGCGUAGGCGGGUUAGUAAGUCGAUUGUGAAAGCCCUGGGCUUAACCUGGGAAUGGCAGUCGAAACUACUAAUCUUGAAUGUCUGAGAGGAUGGCGGAAUAACCGGUGUAGUAGUGAAAUACGUAGAUAUCGGUUAGAACACCUGAGGCGAAGGCGGCUAUCUGGCGGUACAUUGACGCUGAGGCGCGAAAGCGUGGGGAGCAAAC
rnacentral:rRNA from 1 species